GACGAACGCUGGCGGCGUGCUUAACACAUGCAAGUCGAACGCUGAAGCCCUUCGGGGUGGAUGAGUGGCGAACGGGUGAGUAACACGUGGGUAAUCUGCCCUGCACUCUGGGAUAAGCCUUGGAAACGGGGUCUAAUACCGGAUAGGACACAUCGCCGCAUGGUGUGUGUGUGGAAAGUUCCGGCGGUGCAGGUUGAGCCCGCGGCCUAUCGGCUUGUUGGUGGGGUGAUGGCCUACCAAGGCGACGACGGGUAGCCGGCCUGAGAGGGUGACCGGCCACACUGGGACUGGGACACGGCCCAGACUCCUACGGGAGGCAGCAGUGGGGAAUCUUGCGCAAUGGGCGAAAGCCUGACGCAGCAACGCCGCGUGGGGGAUGACGGCCUUCGGGUUGUAAACCUCUUUCGACCGGGACGAAGGAUUCGUUUGACGGUACCGGUAGAAGAAGCACCGGCUAACUACGUGCCAGCAGCCGCCGUAA
rnacentral:rRNA from 1 species